UACGUAGGGGGCUAGCGUUGUUCGGAAUUACUGGGCGUAAAGCGCACGUAGGCGGCUUUGCAAGUUAGAGGUGAAAGCCCGGGGCUCAACUCCGGAAUUGCCUUUAAAACUGCAUCGCUAGAAUUGUGGAGAGGUAAGUGGAAUUCCGAGUGUAGAGGUGAAAUUCGUAGAUAUUCGGAAGAACACCAGUGGCGAAGGCGACUUACUGGACAGAUAUUGACGCUGAGGUGCGAAAGCGUGGGGAGCAAACAGG
rnacentral:rRNA from 1 species